rnacentral:rRNA from 1 species
AACGAACGCUGGCGGCAGGCCUAACACAUGCAAGUCGAACGAUAAGCCACCUUCGGGUGGUGGAAAGUGGCAGACGGGUGAGUAACGCGUGGGAACGUGCCUUUCGGUUCGGGGCAACCCAGGGAAACUUGGGCUAAUACCGGAUACGCCCUUCGGGGGAAAGAUUCAUUGCCGAAAGAUCGGCCCGCGUCGGAUUAGCUAGUUGGUAGGGUAACGGCCUACCAAGGCGACGAUCCGUAGCUGGUCUGAGAGGAUGACCAGCCACACUGGGACUGAGACACGGCCCAGACUCCUACGGGAGGCAGCAGUGGGGAGUAUUGGACAAUGGGCGCAAGCCUGAUCCAGCCAUGCCGCGUGGGUGAAGAAGGCCCUAGGGUUGUAAAUCCCUUUCAGCGGGGAAGAUAAUGACGGUACCCGCAGAAGAAGUCCCGGCUAACUCCGUGCCAGCAGCCGCCGUAACAC